rnacentral:rRNA from 1 species
AUUGAACGCUGGCGGCAUGCCUAACACAUGCAAGUCGAACGGGGCAGCAAUGCCUAGUGGCGGACGGGUGAGGAAUACGUAGGAAUCUGCCCUUAAGUGGGGGAUAACCAGGGGAAACCCUGACUAAUACCGCAUGAUCUCUUCGGAGCAAAGAGGGGGACCGCAAGGCCUCUCGCUUCUGGAUGGGCCUACGUCUGAUUAGCUAGUUGGUAGGGUAAAGGCCUACCAAGGCGACGAUCAGUAACUGGUCUGAGAGGAUGAUCAGUCACACCGGAAGUGGGACACGGUCCGGGCGCCUACGGGAGGCAGCAGUGGGGAAUAUUGGACAAGGGGCGCAAGCCUGAUCCAGCAAUGCCGCGUGUGUGAAGAAGGCCUUCGGGUUGUAAAGCACUUUAGCCUGGAAAGAAAAAACUUUGGUUAACACCCAAAGUCUUGACGGUACCAGGAGAAUAAGCACCGGCUAACUCUGUGCCAGCAGCCGCGGUAAGAC